GAGCUCAACUUUGGAAUCGCUCCGGCGAGUUGUAGUCUGGAGGUGGCCACCACGAGGUGUUUUAGCAGCAGGCAAGUCCUUUGGAACAAGGCGCCAGCGAGGGUGACAGCCCCGUACCUGCUUUUGCUAGUGCUUCCUGUGGCCCACCGACGAGUCGAGUUGUUUGGGAAUGCAGCUCUAAGUGGGUGGUAAAUUCCAUCUAAGGCUAAAUAUUGGCGAGAGACCGAUAGCGAACAAGUACAGUGAUGGAAAGAUGAAAAGCACUUUGAAAAGAGAGUGAAACAGUACGUGAAAUUGUUGAAAGGGAAGGGCUUGCACCCAGACACGGUUUUACCGGGCCAGCAUCAAGUAGAACGGGGUUAAAAGACCUGGGGAAUGUAGCUACCUCUUGGUAGUGUUAUAGCCCUUGGGUGAUGACCCCCGUUUUGCUUGAGGACAGC
rnacentral:rRNA from 1 species